AUUGAACGCUGGCGGCAUGCCUUACACAUGCAAGUCGAACGGUAACAGGUCUUCGGAUGCUGACGAGUGGCGAACGGGUGAGUAAUACAUCGGAACGUGCCCGAGAGUGGGGGAUAACGAGGCGAAAGCUUUGCUAAUACCGCAUACGAUCUCAGGAUGAAAGCAGGGGACCGCAAGGCCUUGCGCUCACGGAGCGGCCGAUGGCAGAUUAGGUAGUUGGUGGGAUAAAAGCUUACCAAGCCGACGAUCUGUAGCUGGUCUGAGAGGACGAUCAGCCACACUGGGACUGAGACACGGCCCAGACUCCUACGGGAGGCAGCAGUGGGGAAUUUUGGACAAUGGGCGCAAGCCUGAUCCAGCAAUGCCGCGUGCAGGAUGAAGGCCUUCGGGUUGUAAACUGCUUUUGUACGGAACGAAAAGCCCUGGGUUAAUACCCUGGGGUCAUGACGGUACCGUAAGAAUAAGCACCGGCUAACUACGUGCCAGCCGCCGCCGUAAUAC
rnacentral:rRNA from 1 species